UUCGAAACCUCGGCACAUCUCGUAACAUCACUAGUCGGCACGUCUGGUAGCGUCUCUGGCUGCUGUUGACCUUGUUUUUGGAGUAAAACACGGUGGAAGCUGAAUUAGUGAGGAUGACUCCUGCUCCUGUCAUCUCUAAGCUCCUCCCACAUCUUUACCUGCACAUGAGGAAAAUCACUCCUGUAGAAUGCAGAUGUUCAGAGGGAGAUGAUGCCACAUCUGGUCCAGCCGAUGGAAGGUCUUGAAGUUCUCUGACUGGCCUCGACUGAAGAUAGUCCUCUCACUGGAUUUAAGGUUUAAGGUGGGAAAUGCAGUCCAGUUCCAGAAUGUGGAGGAAUUUAGUCUCAAUCACAGACAACAAAUAUUAUCUGAAAGUCAGGUUAUUGUUGUUUAUCAGCACAAUACAAAAAGAUUAAUGUUAGAAAUAUUCCAGUUAAGACUCUAGAAUAUCAUGAUUUAUGUAAAUUUACCUCAAUAAUAUGAAUGUUCAGGUUAAGAUUGUACAGUGAUAUUUAUUAUGCAAGUUUAGCUAAUUAAAGUUUAUGACUCUGCACUAAAAUAUUAUUUAAAUUGACAUCAUUAUUGUAAUAUUUAGGGUCAGACCCUACAGUAUUGAGAUUAAGAAAUCAAAUAUUCUAUAAAAUGUAAAUACACUGAACUCAUUUGGAUAUAUUUAAGUGAGACUCUACAAUAUUAUUUGACACAAAUCUAUCUAAAUCAAAAUUUUAAUAAUUUUCAUGCCAAACAUUUACUGGACUGAUUUAAAUAUUAAAAUCACUCCUUUCUAAUCCUCUGCUGUACGUUCAAACCUGAGGCCUUAAAUAGAAACACACAAGUAUCUGAUUGAAGGAACUUCUGCAGAGUCCUGGUUCCAGAACAUGAUGAUAGAAUUAUAGACAAACUUUAACAAAAGCUGCCUGAGAGUUUACAGGUUUUUAUGUUGGAUUUCUUCAGUAAUUUAAUGAGAGUUAUCAGCAAUAAUCAAGUGUUCAUUUGAUGAACUUCAUUUCCUAAAAAAUCCAGAAUUGGAGCUCAUAUCUUUGGCAGCUGUAAAGUUUCUGCUCCUUCAAAGUUCACAACACAAUGAAUGAAUUCCUAAAACACUCUCAGUGCUGGAGAGCGUUUGUGAUGCUGAAGCAGUGACCAGUUUUUCUGUUUCUUCUCUGGAGAUGCACAAUGAGGGACGUCUGCAGAGACUGAGAAAGAGUCUCACCACAUCCUUACAUGAGGAAAAAGACUUUAUUGAAGACUACAAUGAGAAAAACUAUCAGACAGCAGACGGCUGCAUUCAAGGUGAGCUCUGAACAUUUGAUCUGGAACAGGAAUUCAAUCACGGCAGCAUGAGCUUCAUUUCAGUCUGUAGCUGCUGAAUUCAUGGAUGAAUCAUCUGGCACUAGAGAGGAAGAUCAUCAAACAUCCAUGUCAGCUGAUGGAGGUCCAAGAGUCUCACCGAACAAACAACCUACAGAGUGAAGACCUCAAAUCUGAUUGGAUGGCCUCCUAUUCAGCCACAUGUGUGAACAAAUGCCUCUAAGCUGAUUUGUUUUCUAAAAUAAAUCUAGUUUGAGUCCUAA